ensembl:misc_RNA Gm27715 predicted gene, 27715
ACAGAGACUUUAAUCUUCUCACCUUAGAAAAUUCUUUCAAAGUAUUUGUGUUUUUAUGUUUUUAACCUAGAAAUGAUAACAUCCUUUAUAGGCAGGGCUUCAUCUCAUCCCCCUCACUCCUGGCUACACUCCGGGUCACUUUUCUGUCAACACUGGAAUUAAUUAAAUAUGAAUGAAUUAUUCCUCAGAAAACUAGCUAAAUCUAAAUAUCACUUUGUGAUUUCCCUUUUGAUAAGUAGUGUAACUGCAGAACAUUAUAU